CAUGAGAACAGAAUCUUUUACAUUCCCUGCAACAUUUUUAUAUUGCACGUUGAACAUUCUUUAAAAACUACUGGACAUCCAGGCCAUCGGUGCGGAGAGUACCUGCCAAGUUGUGCCGUCUCGAAGCCGCGACGGCCGACCGCGAGCUCCGUCCCCGCCGGCGAGCGAUUGCGGCGUCCGCUCGUCGUCAACGCCACCGACCACGUCCGCUCCUCUACGUCGAGUUCGCCAACACCCUCGACCCCCAGUUCUCGUUUCCGCCGCCAUAAAGUCACGGAUGAAGCAACUUCUGGUGAUUGAUGCCACGGAUGAAGGACAUGAACAGAAUUCGGAGGAGGGAGGCCACCAGGGCCAUAAAGAUCAGCAGCUCCCGCACACCACAUGUUCGAUGAAACGCCCACGACGCGCCGCAGCAACGUCUUCUUCUCCUCUCUCGCCGGCAAGUCACCAUCUAAAAUGGUUAUCCGAGAAGGGAGAAGGCAUAGCCGAAUCCCGAAUCUAGCUGGGAUUCGUUCAUACACAUUUCGAAUUUUUUUUUUCUCCUCUUUACAAUAGCUCAUUUUUGUAUGUUUGAAAAUUUUCUUGUAGGUAAAGGUUGUAAUCUUGUCUGCUUAGGUUGCUUGUACAAACUAGGAUGUACUGGCUUGGAAGACUCACAAGUUCUUAAUAACAUGUAUUAUGGACAAUGUGACAUGCUGCAGAACCAAACUUAUAAUCUCAACCAAGUUGGUUUCGCAUCAGAGGGAAUUAUCGAUGCUCAACAGACUAUCACUGCCAUGAAGGCUGCCAAUAAAGAGCCGAAAGAGAAUGCAAGACGAGAUGGUGGAUCUUAUGGAUGUGAGCAAUGAGAUACAAGAAACUCUUGGUAGAAGCUUCAAGGUCGCAGAUGACAUUGAUGAGGAGGACUUAUGGGGGGGCAAGGACUACAUAUUCCAGGAUACAAUGCUCCAACGUAAGGACAAGAACAUCAUACUCCUGUCCUACAACCCUCUCGUGAUCAUCUCUAUUUUAUUUCCUCAUGCCUGUGGAAUGAUGACACAGUAAUUACUCCCAGAAAGCAAAUUGAAAGCAGGGAUAGAAGGCUGGUACGGAACAAAAUAUUUAGCUCAAGUGGAUGGUUAACCAUGGGAAAAUUCCAUUCUGGAAUUCUAUCGAUGGUGAAUAUAAACAUUUAUGUGCUGAAUUUUGGUUCAUAUGAAUCCUGGACCCCAAGUAUUGUGUCCUGUGUCCGAGUGAAUACGAGACAGUGGCUGCAACUUGUUGAAUUCAAGUGGCUGGCUGAAGAAAAGUUCAACUUGUGGGAUACAAGUGGGGGAAUACAAUUAAGCAAAGAUUUGGAGCACACUGACCGAAGAAAAGUUCCAAGCUCAAGUGGAUUGAUUUGGGAUUGGCCACAACAACAAUUGUCAGCCUUCGAGACACAUCUUCCUGCUCACCUGCUGCCAGACGAUAUACUGAAGCCUGUGUGGAUAGAUUGUUGUGCUCAGUAUACUGACGCCUGUGUAGAUAGAUCGUUGUGCCCAGCUGAUAUUUCUUAUGUGCAGCAGUGCCGGAUCUGAUCAUCAGAGUUCGUGAGAUGCUGCACACAGCAUCACGACCGUCAUGGGUGAAUCCUAUGGUGUGCCCAAAUAAUUAUGGUGGACAAUCAAGCCAAAAGAGAAUAUUUGGUGAAGCCGACCACGAUUUUUUUUAGAGAAAAAGGACGCACCGCCCGCUUUCAUUCAUUAUAUUAACGAAACAUGAAGUGGUCGGAUGCUAAGCACAUGGACAUGUAUCAGAAGUAAUAAGGUUCAGGUUUCCAACAGAAAUUUUAAAACGCGCCACAUGAUGCUAGUAACACAAGCAGGCAGAUCACCUCAGGAUGUAUCUUUGCAUGCUUCCAGUUGAAUGAUCUACAUCACAUCUCCACCACUGACAGGAUUUUUUUCCCUUCUAUAAAGCCAGAACCAAUCCAAGUUCCCUCUGUGCCUCCAUGUGGCUUCUAACCAUGUGACACAUGUGGUAAGCAAUCCAAAUAAUUGGAAAAGAAACUCUCUGUCUUCUAUGUGAAUACACAUUGAACAUUUUCUAAAUACAUGUGUAAUAUUUUCCAGAUACACAUUAAGAUUGUUUUUAAAGACACCAUGAAUAUUUUUUUUGAAUACACGUUGUACAUUUUCCAUAUACAUGUGAACAUUUUUCUGAUACAUGUUGAACAUUUUUUCAAACUGUCAUGAACAUAAUUUUUUAAACAUGUGAACAUUUUCAAUUGUAACAAAUUUUAUUUUGAAUGAUGUGAUUUUUUUCAAAACCUACGCGAAUAAAUUAAAAUGCACUGCCAUUUUUUAAAGGCCUGAAAAAUUUUAUGCAAUGUACAAACAUUUUUUUAAAUCGUGAAAACAAAAAUUUGACAUUCCCCAAACAUUUUUUUAGUACAUGGUAUAUAUUUUUGUAAACUACAGUAUUAAAUAAUAUUUUUAUAUUUUUAUUCAUAUCUAUAUUUUAGUGCAUUUUUGGAACAUAAAAAUAAAUAAAUAAAAGGCCUCACACUGGAAAAAAGGAAAACAAAAAAAAUAGGAAAACGGAAAAGGCCUGUAAUGGACCGGCCCACUACUUGGCUCUCCUCCUUGAGGCAAGCGGUUCCUGCUUCUCCGUCCUCCGGCCUGCGGGCCACCGAUGCCAAGAUGCGCCGGCCUCGAGCUUCUUCACCGCCGGCGAGCGACUGCGGUGUCCGCUCGACCACGUCCGCUAUUCUACAUCGAGGUCGCCAACUCCCUCGACCCCCAGUGCUCAGGAUAGGAAGAGGAUUCGGAGGAGAGGGGGGACCGGGGCCAUAAAGAUCGGCUCGCGCGCUCCACCUGUUCGACAAAAUGCCCACAACGUGCCGCAGCGACGUCUUCUUCUCCUAUCUCCGCGGUCGCUCACCGGUCCAUGCUGCAUUCACGAACGUUGGCAAGUGACCAUCUAAAAGGUUGCCCCACAAGCUUUCAAAGCCGAUAGGGACUUUGAAUCGAGGAGACAGAUCCUUAUUCCGAGCUUAACUUACCUGCUGCACCAAGUGGUCAUGUCCCGGCAAGGCAGCAGGAGGAUGAACUAGGAGUCUAGGACUGCCUGUAGUGCCACACACGUCAAUUCGUAUCUGAAACUAACAAAACCAGCUAUGGUAUAUGUUUGAUCUUGAUGUACAUGGUUGGCGUUUUGUUUCUGCGUGGACAAAUUCAUUGUAUCUUUCCCCAUAUACCACUGCAAGUCGUUGAACAAUGGUAAAUGGAGCUAUUCUCCAUACGAUUGUACA